rnacentral:rRNA from 1 species
CGUGUAGGCUGUGCGGUAAGUUGGACGUGAAAUCCCCGGGCUCAACCCGGGGCGGUCGUUCAAAACUGCCGUGCUAGAGUGUGGGAGAGGGAAGUGGAAUUCCCGGUGUAGCGGUGAAAUGCGUAGAUAUCGGGAAGAACACCUGUGGCGAAGGCGGCUUCCUGGCCCACAACUGACGCUGAGGCGCGAAAGCUAGGGGAGCAAACA